GAACAUGAAACGUAGGAGGCUCCGCGCGCCUGUCGUGAUCACUUCCAGGUGC
rnacentral:misc_RNA from 1 species